CCCAUCCACCGCCGCCGGCCUCCACCGCGUGCGAGCUGGGGGGAGGAGGCAGCGGCGUCGUCGGGCUGAGGGGACGAGGCAGCAGCAGCGGUGUCGUGCUAAGAGGAGGAGGCGGCAACAUCGUCGGGCUGAGGGGAGGAGGCGGCAGCAGCGGCGUCGGGCUAGGGAAGGGAUCGAAGGCGACGGAAUAUGUGAAUGACAUUGGGAGGUGAUCCUUGUCCAAGCCCAAGCCCGAAGAGAAGGAGAAAGGGCAACGGUGAAGAAGGCGACAAUGACUACAUUCCUCUAAAGAAGGGCCGAAGAAAAAGAUCCGUCCAAAGACGACGGGGUCCUAGCUGACACAACCGGCUCCAAGAAAAGUGAAUAGUCAGCAAAGGCGAAGAAAAGAAAGGGCGAGAGAAGCGUGAAUAAAAAGGAUGAAGGGUUCCAUGUUGUUACACAUGUAUUUGAAGUAACAAUGUAAAUGUUGUAAUAUAUAUAUAUAUUUUGGCAACACUUUUGAGUUAUGCAAUAUAUGUAAAU